CUUCCUCGCUAUGCAGACCAGCACAAUUGGCUCCACUGAGGUGCAGAUGUUUCCUUUAUACACUAGUUAUUUUUCAGUUUCGUCCUAAGAACAGAUUGUAGUGUUAAAAUAAAAUGAUACUUUUUUGGUGCCAUUUAGGCAAAAUGGGAAUCUAAGCUUCACUUCAGUCAACGGGCUCUGCGAACGUUCGAUUCCAUUCAUUUGAUAUGGGCUCGCGCUAGUUUUACCUUGGCCAACGUUCUAAAGCCGUUUUCAGCCUUGGGUGAAUUUUGACUCGUUCUUUUGUCCAGCCGACCUAUGCGGAUGUUUAUCUAGUUCCCAAGAGCAGCAGACCGAUCUGUAAUGCACUCCACCACUGCCUGACAGCCUCACCCAGAAGUGCAUACACUGGGCCUAUCAAGACUGACAAUGCAGAGAUGGGUGGGUGACAAGGAAACUGAAAACACAACAUGCACACACACUCCCUCUCUCUCUGUCACACACACAUAAUCUCCAAUGUAAAUACAUUGUAGUUUAUUUUAUGUAUGCUCCAUUUUAUUUGAGUUAAAUGUCUGCAAUAAAGUUUGUUCACAGUUAA